rnacentral:rRNA from 1 species
AAGAGAGAGACAUGCGCGCAUAUCAAUAAGCGGAGGAAAAGAAACUAACAAGGAUUCCCUUAGUAACGGCGAGUGAAGCGGGAAGAGCUCAAAUUUGAAAUCUUCAAGGUUUUACCUUGACGAAUUGUAGUUUAAAGAAGUGUUUUCUGCUGAAGUUUUGGUAAAAGUUCUUUGGAAUAGGACAUCAUAGAGGGUGAGAAUCCCGUAUUUGACCAUUAUUUUCAGCUUUGUGAUACACUUUCAAAGAGUCGGAUUGUUUGGGAAUGCAGUCCAAAAUGGGUGGUAAAUUUCAUCUAAAGCUAAAUAUUGGCGAGAGACCGAUAGCGAACAAGUACCGUGAGGGAAAGAUGAAAAGAACUUUGAAAAGAGAGUUAAACAGUACGUGAAAUUGUCAAAAGGGAAGCGUUUGACACCAGUGUUGUUUUCUCGAAAAUCAAUUAAAAAUGGCUCGAUUUUGUAUUGUUGAGACCUUAAAAGCUCGCUGUACAUUUUUCGUGUCUUUUUUAAUGCACUUUUCGUUUAACAAGUCAACAUCAGUUUCUUUUGUUGUAAAAGGGUCAUUGGAAGGUGGCUUUUCUUUUCGGAGAAAGUGUUUAUAGCCUUUGGCCUCUGCAAUCGGAGAGACUGAGGUCUGCAGCGUAGACUCUUCGGGGUUAGAUACAUUUGUGCUAAGUUAUAGCUUUUUAUAGACAACUUGUUGACUAUAAUUAGUCUUGUAGCUUACUCGCUUAUGCUAUUUUACCUACGCUUAGGAUGUUGAAGAUGUAGCACAUCAU